rnacentral:lncRNA from 1 species
CCUCCGUCCAGAAGUUUUUUUAUCCAUCUGUAUUCGUGAGCCUAACAUUAUUGAAAGGAGGCAGAUUUACCAUAAAGCUAGUUGAUUGGUGCUCCAGAUUGUUGGAACUUACACUUGGGUAGAUUUCAGGAUUUUGAUCAUUUUGUUUUCACGAUCUCUAUAACGUUCCCAUAUACAAUCAAUGAAGGCAUGAUGCAUGUAAAAAAUAGGAUCAAAAGGAGCUCGGUCUACAUCUCUCAUAGUACCACCUAUCCAAUUAUGUG